AGUGAACGCUGGCGGCAUGCCUAAUACAUGCAAGUCGAGCGAACACACAAUGAGCUUUCUCCUCUGCCGUUAGCGGCUGACGGGUGAGUAACACGUGGAUAACCUACCUCUAUUACUGGGAUAACUUCGGGAAACCAGAGCUACUACCACCUCAUAUAUUGAACCGCAUGGUUCAAUAGUGCAAGACGCUUUUGCCGUCAGUUAUAGCUGGAUCCGCGCCGCAUUAGCUAGUUGGUAAGGUAACGGCUUACCAAGGCGACGAUGCGUAGCCGACCUGAGAGGGUGAUCAGCCACACUGGAACUGAGACACGGUCCAGACUCCUACGGGAGGCAGCAGUAGGGAAUCUUGCGCAAUGGGCGAAAGCCUGACGGAGCAACGCCGCGUGAGUGAUGAAGGUCUUCGGAUCGUAAAACCCUGUUGUUAGGGAAGAACAAAUGUGGAAUUAACCAUGCACGUCUUGACGGUACCUAAUCAGAAAGCAACGGCUAACUACGUG
rnacentral:rRNA from 1 species